CUUUUGAGGGCAUUAGCAGUUUGACUUUGACAACAGAGGAAGCAGAUCGGAGUGGCUCAAAAUUUCCAAUCCAUGUCUCUGAUAUCUCGAGCUUCUGUUUUGUUGUCUGUUCUUGAGGCGGUGCCGAGGUCUUAAACCGAUGGGUUAAAUUGAUCAAACUUGCAGCUGGUUAUCUCUCAUGGUCUUUGGCGGAGGAAUCUAUCUUGCGAUUCCUGAUUCGCAAGUAGCUCUUCUCAUCAUUUGAAGAUUUAUUAACUAUCGCAGUUGCAUUUGUCUCUUGGUCUUGGACAUACGAAUUGAUCCUUGGUCUUUCACAGAUCAUGAGUUAUGUUCGACACGAGGUGGUGCCAAGAUCUUGAACCGAUUGGUUAGGUCGACCGUAUUUGCAGCUGAUUUUCUCUCUUGCUCUUCCAUGGAGAACUGUUGAAGAUUGCUACAGUUCGCUGCUGCUAUGUUUCUUUCGUGGUCUUGGAUGUAGGAAUUCAUCGUGAGCAGUACUCAUCUCCGUUGAUCAUUGACUAAAUUUGCUGCUGGUUUUGUCGUUUGGUCUUCACCGGACGAAUUCAUCAUGGGUAGCGAUC